AUUGAACGCUGGCGGCAGGCCUAACACAUGCAAGUCGAGCGGAUGAAGGGAGCAUGCUCCUGGCUUCAGCGGCGGACGGGUGAGUAAUGCCUAGGAAUCUGCCUGGUAGUGGGGGCUAACGUCCGGACACGGGCGCUCAUACCGCAUACGUCCUGAGGGCGAAAGUGGGGGAUCUUCGGACCUCACGCUAUCAGAUGAGCCUAGGUCGGAUUAGCUAGUUGGUGGGGUAAAGGCCUACCACGGCGACGAUCCGUAACUGGUCUGAGAGGAUGAUCAGUCACACUGGAAGUUAGACACGGACCGGACUCCCACGGAAGGCAGCGAUAGGGAAUAUUGGACCAUGGGCGAAAGCCUGAUUCAGCCACGCCGCGUGUGUGAAGAAGGGCUGCGGAGGGUAAAGCGCUUUAAGUGGGGAGGAAGUGCAGUAAGUUAAUACCUUGCUAUUUUGACGUUACCAACAGAGUAAGCACCGGCUAACUUCGUG
rnacentral:rRNA from 1 species